rnacentral:rRNA from 1 species
GAGCACGUAGGUGGGUUUGUAAGUCAGAUGUGAAAGCCUUCUGUUCAACGGAAGAAUUGCAUCUGAAACUACAAACCUUGAGUAUAGGAGGGGAGAAUGGAACUUCUGGUGGAGCGGUGAAAUGCGUAGAUAUCAGAAGGAACGCCGGCGGCGAAAGCGAUUCUCUGGCCUAUUACUGACACUCAGUGUGCGUAAGCUAGGGGAGCAAACGGGAUUAGAUACCCCGGUAGUCCUAGCCGUAAACGAUGGGCACUAAGUAGAGGGGUUUU